AUUGAACGCUGGCGGCAGGCCUAACACAUGCAAGUCGAACGGUAACAGGAAGAAGCUUGCUUCUUUGCUGACGAGUGGCGGACGGGUGAGUAAUGUCUGGGAAACUGCCUGAUGGAGGGGGAUAACUACUGGAAACGGUAGCUAAUACCGCAUAACGUCGCAAGACCAAAGAGGGGGACCUUCGGGCCUCUUGCCCUCGGAUGUGCCCAGAUGGGAUUAGCUUGUUGGUGGGGUAACGGCUCACCAAGGCGACGAUCCCUAGCUGGUCUGAGAGGAUGACCAGCCACACUGGAACUGAGACACGGUCCAGACUCCUACGGGAGGCAGCAGUGGGGAAUAUUGCACAAUGGGCGCAAGCCUGAUGCAGCCAUGCCGCGUGUAUGAAGAAGGCCUUCGGGUUGUAAAGUACUUUCAGCGGGGAGGAAGGGAGUAAAGUUAAUACCUUUGCUCAUUGACGUUACCCGCAGAAGAAGCACCGGCUAACUCCGUG
rnacentral:rRNA from 1 species